AUGGAUGACAUCUACUGACAUGGUCCAAUGGACUGCUACAAAGAGGAUGCCUUCGAAAAACUGCAUGGCCGCAUAAGAGAUCAGCUAUUCAACCAGAAUCUGCAUGCCAGAAGCAGGGACACAGCAUAUGCCUUUGCUGAAAUGGAAGUCCUGCAACAUGUUCUAACUGGGGGAUACUUUCCCUCUGGAGAUACAUGGUUGCAGGCAUCUGAUCUUGUUCAGAAUGCCUCCAGCAGUAAAUCGGUGAAGCAUUUCCUGGGCAUGCCUGUAGCAAAUGAACCAUCCUUUGCCAUCAGUAGGGAUCUGAGAAAAGCAGUUGGCAGACAGAAGGGUUCCUUGUUAUGGGAGUAUGUGGAUUCUGAUUCUGUAGAAUCCCUCUCUGUGCUAUACCAGAAUGAGGUCAACUUCCUUGGGGCAAAAAGGAGCUUAUUUAAUGCAGUAAAGGCUCAUUCAGGGGAGUUAGUGAAUUUUGGGAAUUUUGUACUUUUCACAGAUAAUGACAAUGUGGAAAAUGUUGCAAUGUUUAUCCAGGGAUGGCUAAUUUCAACUGCCUUGGGAGUGCAAGUACAAGUAGCUCAAUACGCCAAUUUGAAAAAAUUCAAGAUUCCAGAUUAUUUUGGGAAAUGAGUUUUGAGAGGGUGCAAUUAACUGAUCAGAAGGUUCUCAUUCAGUCUUCCAGAAUUAAAAGUGUGAUCUGCUUAGUGCAUGAUUGUUUGAGUGCGGGAUGUAGAAUGAAAGAGGGUGAAGUGAGUGUGCGUGUUGAGCAAGAGAUGAGAGAGGUGAAGAAGAAGUUUUGGAAACACAAGAAUAAUUGUGUGUUUUUUCUGAACAGAUUAAGUUUUGCCAACAAGAAAGACAAAUAUUUUGUCUAAAUAUCUCCUGUUUUUAUGCUCCACCAUGUAUAUGACCAGGACAAAUAUUUAUAUCAUUCAUUAAGAGUGGUUUAGAUAAAGAAAACAUAUGCAUAUUCGUAUUGACAUUGAACUAUUAUACAUAAAGAUUGCAUAAAGAUGAAGUAGUAAUUAGACUUAUUGUUGUAUCAAAAUUAUUGUGAAAUGGUAACAUACAUGUAUGACCAUUUUAUGAACAUUGUUUGUAUGUGUCUUGAAUAAUUCCUGCAAAUUUUUAAUAUAGGUGUGGGAAUUGGGUUUUUUUCUUUCAAUUUAAUGCAAUCCUUUGAAAAUAGUAAUUUACUUGUGUAUAUCGUAUUGAAUUUUAAAAAACAAAUCACUCAUAAAUUCAUAUAAUAUCUUCCUCUUCUUUUUAGAAUAUUGCAUAAUAUUUAUAUGAAUAUCGCACGAUUUUCACAUGAAUAACAGACAAAGUCGCAUGAAAAUCGCAUGAAUUUUGCAAAUACAAUUUUCCUCCUUUUCUUCUUACAUUUUGAUUAACAAUUUUUAAAUAGUAGUCUAGUCAAUGUACAGGAUGACCUCAAACUAAUGGCUACAAAAGCUGUUAUUGCUUUAAGGUGUAUUAGAAUAUAGUCUCAACAACAUAUAUAAAAAUAUACAAAAGAUUUUAUAUCAAUUGUCCAUAUCCAAUCCUGUAAUUUGAGUUUUAUAUAAUCUGAUACCAAUUGAUUUGAUAUAAUUAUUUUUAAAAAAAUCCAGAUUUCCACAAUUUUUCAAUGUAAACCCAAUAUUUGCCCCCAAAAUUCAAUUUUCCUGAAGUUAUAAUUUUGUAUUGUUUUAAUAUGUUACUUGUACAAAUAAAUACCUUUGUUUUUAUUGGUAAUUAGCUUUGUAGCAAUUAGUUUGAGGUUUGGCUUAAAUUUUGACAGAUUGACGAGACUAUAGGCCCAUAAUACUAACUUAAACUAAAGGAUUUAUAGAUAUAGUUUAUUCACCAAUCAAGGGCCCUCGGGGGGCAUGUACAUGUUCACAGGCAAUUAAUUAUAACAAUGAAAAUAAAUAACAAUCAUUUAGAAGUACUGCCGUUAAUACUGACAGAGUUCACACUUCUGCACUGCACAUAUCUAUAAUUAUAUGAAAUACUGAUUACAGACAAGAUUUAAAUUAACAACAUGAUAAAUAAAAUAACCCAACUGCUUCACACAUCAGUUUCUGGGAUAGCAGAUAAUGAUAGUGUUGUGUGAAUACAUAUAAAAUUGCAAUUGUAAUCAAAUCGGUAUAAUUAUAUUUCAGUAAGAACAGUAUGCAAGUAUAAAACACAUGUACAUGUCGGAUCAAUUGUACGAAGUGUUAAAGAAGGCGUGAAUUGUUUACUUGAUUACAGGGGGCACCAAGGGACAGUGCCUGUUAACAGUCUGGUAGUAAAUCUAUUGCACCAGACUGUUGGUCUUGUCCAGUGGCUAAUUUACUUAAAACACCUUAUUAAAAUGUUAUGAAAUUGAUUAUUGCCAAUGAAGUUCUCAUAAAGAUUAGCUCUACCAUGCCACUUGGAUUUUACACUAUUUGCAUAUUUAGUUUUAUUGUUAUGAUCAACUAUGAAUUUGUAAAAAUAAAAGUUGUACACAAAAUUAACAUGACCAAAUUUCCUUUACAGGAAAAUACGAUAUGUGUACCAAAUUGAUCCAUCAACUCCUGCAAGGAAAUUUGUUGGUUUUUGUGAAGUAAAAGAGUUUAUAUUUUCUCAAGAUUAAUGGAUGUUUUGAGAAGACUAAAACAUCUAUUGAUUAUACAUAUGUAGUAAACAGUUGUUACUAUUGCACACUGGUCAGCAUGGACAGGGUUAAAGGGACUGGUUCAUGAUUGUUGAAUAAAAUAUUUUUCAUUUUUGAUGUUAACCAUUAAAAAUAUAACUCAUUUAAUGUUGACAGCCAAAAUUUUGACCUUCUGAAUGCAAGAAUAAAAGAAAAAUUUUAGCCUUAGAUAUGUGUUAUGUAAACAAAGACUUGAAUCUUUUAAUGAAUACAAACAAACCAAUGAAAUAUUAAUUUUGUAAUACAUGUAUAAAGCAUCUUAAUUUUGCAUAGUCACAAAUUAUAACUUUUAGCUGACACAUUUUACCCAAAGAAUGCUUGAAAUGUGAAAGAUAUAAUAAACUUAGAUCAAUAUCCAUUUCUUUUGAAAAUUUCAUAAACAACAACAUACCACCAUCUUUGUUUACAAAAGAAAUAAUAAACUAUAAAAUGAGCUUAUUUGAUAAAUGUAUAACCUUAAUUUCUACGAAUUUAUAACGUGUCGUGUGAUUGGUCCGCGAAUAAUCCCGAGACCCUUCGGAUGAUCCCGAGACUAAGCAAUGUCUUUGCGAACCAAUCACACGGCGCGUACAACAAAUUCGUACUCUGUGACCUCCUUUUUGGCUGCCAGUGGAAGAGAUGAAGCCCUGUCCGAUCAAUGCAUGCAAGAUUGUGUCAAAUGAAAGAGAUGAGAUGGGUUUUGAGUUGAAGAGACUUGUAGUAUGACAUCUCCCCGACCUGCCGCUCGCCAAAAUCCCUUAGGUCAAGUUCUCGAUGGAUUCACCUUGUAUGGUCUUAUCAUCUCAAUGUGACUGUAAAGCUGGAAAUGGUCAUUGCAGCCAUUGUGUUGGACUGUUAUACCUAUUGUGUCAUUUCCAAAAGCUUGGUCUGAAAGCUGUUCCACCCAAGACAUCCCUGCCUCAGCACUGGAACAUUCCACAGAGGACUGAAAACAAGUUGACAACAUUGAAGUAUAUAAAGUGAAGCCGAAGACAAGUCAACCUAAGAGGAAAAGAAAAAUAACUGAAGGCAUUCUUCCCAAUGUGUAUUGCCCUGUAAAAAAAAACCAAUCCCGAGCAAUGAAUUGAAAGACACUUUAAUCAAGCAACUUACAGCAAUCGGUAGUGAUGCCCAAAUUUUAAAAGUUUUUGGCACUGAUGAAGAAAAUUGUGAAACUGUUCCCUCUCAAUUUGGUCCAGUGCCUGUUGGAUCUCCCCUUUCCUACCAGCAGAAGAUUUCUAAGUCAGAUGGUGACCUUAUUAUCAACAACCCUGAUCAACAGACUUUUCCUGAUUGUGAAUUACCCAACCUUAUUUCAGAAUAUAGUACUGUUCUGAACUAUGCAGAUUUUCAUGUAUCUAUGGGACUACAUAUUAAUCAUGAUUUUGUUAUAGAAUUAGAAAAGCAAACAAAUGAACAAAGUUAUAACAAGACAUGGCAUGAUGUCAGUAGAAAUCGCAUAACGUCUUCCAUAUUCAAAGAUAUUUGUAGUAGAAAAUCUGACUUUGAAAGCCUUGCUACAAGAAUACUACAGACCAAAAACAUUCAAACUGCUGCCAUGAAAUAUGGACUUGAACAUGAACCUGAAGCUGCAAAGUUGUACUCCGAAAUCACAAUGAAUAAUGUGUACAAGUGCGGUUUUGUACUUAAUCCAACUGUACCUCAUCUUGGGACGUCUCCUGACCGUAAAGUCCAUGACCCUACAAGCAUACCUCAGUUUGGCCUUCUUGAAAUUAAGUGUCCCGACAAGGAUUCAUUUGUAGAUUGUAAAUAUCUAGUGAAGAACAAAACUAAUGGAACAUACAAACUGAAAUCAAGUCACAGUUACUUUACCAAGUAAUGGGCCAAUGGCACUGACGGACUUAACAUGGUGCGAUUUCUUUGUCAAUUGCCGUCAGGACUAUCACAAGGAGAGAAUUCAUUUUGACAGUGAUAAAUGGGCUGACAUGAAAAUUUCUCUUGAUAAAUUUUAUUUCGAAUUUCUACUACCAGCAAUUUGUAAAAAUUGUCAAAAUUAAAAUAACUUCAAAAUUGAA